CACGUAGGGGGCAAGCGUUGUCCGGAAUUAUUGGGCGUAAAGAGCUCGUAGGCGGCCAACUAAGUCAGACGUGAAAUCCCUCAGCUUAACUGGGGAACUGCGUCUGAUACUGGAUGGCUUGGAUUCGGGAGAGGAAUGCGGAAUUCCAGGUGUAGCGGUGAAAUGCGUAGAUAUCUGGAGGAACACCGGUGGCGAAGGCGGCAUUCUGGACCGAUAUUGACGCUGAGGAGCGAAAGCCAGGGGAGCAAACGGG
rnacentral:rRNA from 1 species